rnacentral:rRNA from 1 species
UGGGGAAUAUUGCACAAUGGGCGCAAGCCUGAUGCAGCCAUGCCGCGUGUAUGAAGAAGGCCUUCGGGUUGUAAAGUACUUUCAGCGGGGAGGAAGGGAGUAAAGUUAAUACCUUUACUCAUUGACGUUACCCGCAGAAGAAGCACCGGCUAACUCCGUGCCAGCAGCCGCGGUAAUACGGAGGGUGCAAGCAUUAAUCGGAAUUACUGGGCGUAAAGCGCACGCAGGCGGUUUGUUAAGUCAGAUGUGAAAUCCCCGGGCUCAACCUGGGAACUGCAUCUGAUACUGGCAAGCUUGAGUCUCGUAGAGGGGGGUAGAAUUCCAGGUGUAGCGGUGAAAUGCGUAGAGAUCUGGAGGAAUACCGGUGGCGAAGGCGGCCCCCUGGACGAAGACUGACGCUCAGGUGCGAAAGCGUGGGGAGCAAACAGG